rnacentral:lncRNA from 1 species
ACAUAUUAAAUGAAUUUCUUUCUACAAAUAUAUAGUCUGUGUCAAGCUACCGGGUUCUGCCGAAUCCAUAACUUCUUGUUGCUCUGCCCCUCCCAGUAGGAGCGCGGCAGUCAUGUUUAGGUAUGAGUAUGUAUAUCUUUUUAAAACAUUUAAAAAAAAACAACAAUCCGUACUCCAAGGGGUGUGAUGUAGACAGCUUACCCAAACGGAAACAUUAGUGGCUGCUUCCACGGAUCGAACUCGUAACCUUUAUGUUAUUCAAGAAUGGAUUUUAGUCCUUAAUUAAGAUGCGCGAGUCACAUAAUUAGCUAAAAUAGUCGUAAAAAGUUUGUAUGACACUGUUAAAUCUUCAGACUGAUAAUGUAAUAUAGAAAAGAUAUAAGGACCAUAUAACUUACCACCAAGAUGGCCUUUAUUUUCACCAAGUCCAGUGAUAUACUAAUGUCUUUCUGCUCCAUUAGCUCUACCAGGAUCUGCAUAAAAUCUUUCUUCUCAUUCUUCUGGAUUUCAGCCUCUCUUUUGUCUGAAAGCAUCUUCACGUGUUGGUUUAUGAGAGGAUCCAAUAUACUGUCAAGCAACUUCAACAUAGCCUCCAUCUCUUUCCGUAUUCCUUGAAAAUCAAACCUUGCAAGCAUAGGGAAGAAGUCUGAUAUGUUGGACUUUCCCAUCACUACACCAAAACUUACCACCAAGUCCCUGAAUUCAGUUCCAUCUUUUCUAUGCUUCUCCAUCUCCCCGACAAAAUCGCUGCCAAAGAUCAUACUCGUGACGACAUUCAUCUCAGUUAAAAAGGCCAAUUCAGCAUUGUCAACGGGGUUACCAACCUUGGUAUGCACAUUUCUGAUAGUCUUUCUGACCUCGUGUCUCCGAAGGCUAUAACAGGCCUCAAGGUUCCUACUGCUUAGCAUCUCCCUUACAAACAGUUUGCGCAUAUCACGCCAGUAGGAACCAUAGGGAGAAAAUCCAAUAUCUAGUCCACCUUAUGUGGCCAUUAAUCCUGCAAUUGUAGGAUCACGGUUGGCAAAAACGGAGUCUUGAUCACAAACUACUUGUUUGGCUAAGGAAGGUGAAUUCAACACAACACAUAGUCUGCUUCCUAGCCAAAACUUGUAAAUUGGACCAUACUGUUGAGAUAACUCUGUGAGCUGGUGAUGCAAAUUGGGGCGGAGGAAUGGUAAGAAUCCCACAAUUGGAAGACCACGAGGCCCUGGCGGCAACCUGAAUUCUUCCUUGUGGGAGGUCAAUUUGUACAAUAGAAUUGUUAGGACCGCAAUUGAAAGGGUGAGAGCUGCUAGAAAAAACUCGUUUAAAGGCUCUGAAGCCAUAUUUAGUCUGCAGAAAAUUUCAGCACUUCUAAUAAUACUAAUAUUUGGAAGGACAACAUUUAUUUUUAACCUCACAAGUCACUAUGAUAAGGUUCAGAAAUCUUUAGAUCAAUAUAAACAAUUCUUGUUAGAUUAUGGGUCAUGGGUCACGCAUGUGGACCGAUCCGACCCGAACCCAACCCAUUCUUUGUCAGAUUGAAUUUAAUUCAAAAAAAAAAAAGGGGUUAACAGUUAUAGAGUAACUGUUCCCACCCCAAAGAUCAAUGCUAUAAGUUCUUAUUUUUUCCUGACAAGAAGUGGUGACAGAAUACAGAUAAGAAUUAACAAAACACAAAAAUAACAACACCAAAAGGCAUUUAGUUGGUGAAAUAUCAUUCCGUUUCCAAGAGAAACGAAAUCGACUUAGAGCAAGAUCCUUUCGAAAGCAAAAACCAAGAUCCGCUGUACACAACUUAUUGUUUGUGCUCUGUAAUUGUUAUAAUGGUAUCAAAGCUAGGUUUAUAUUGCUCUAAUUUUACAUGCAAAAUCUCGAUCGAAGUGUAGAAAUACAAAUCGAGUUUGAAAUCACAUGUUAGAAAAUUUGUUGACCGAACAAACAACUACCUGUAAAAUAAAAAAAAAUUGGUCUCCGAUUAGACACGCCACCGCUGCUCUGGUCAGACACGCCACCUCAACUUCGGUCGGACGCACAACUGAUUCAGUCAAAAGCUGAUUCAGUCAAACGCGUCAAAGAUUUUUAUAGAUCCGACCAGACAUGAUUAUUGUUAAAUGUGCAACUCCGUUUUUUUUGUUCUGAGAAAUCACCGGAGUAACCUCUCAGACAUCAAAUUAUAACUUUGACCUUACACUUUGACAGUAUCCAAAUAUGUCCUUUAACUAUUUAAAACUGUACAAAUAUGACCUCCAAUCCUACGUGACAAAACGCGUGUUCAACAUGCACAAUUGGGCGCGUCCAAAUUAAAAUCUAAGGGUAUAAUAUAUAAAUAUGACCUUAAACUUUGACAAUGUACAAAUUUGACCUUUAAUUAUUCAAAACUGCACAAAUAUGAUCUUUAAAUGACUCUUCAUUAUUAUUUUUUCAUUAUUUUUAUCUCAAAGAUGAAAAUGGCAUCUAAUUUCUUUUGUCAUUGCGGAAAAAGAGCAAUAUUGAAGAUUUAUUAAUUAGGUGGGUCAGCCUCAUACGAAAAAAUCGAAUGGGUAUGUAUAUAUAUUAUAAAGCAGAGGACGAAUUUAAGUUAUAUAAUAUAUCUAAAUAUUAUUUAUUUAAAUAUUAAAUUAAAGAUGAAACUGUACUAAUAAUAAAAAAAAUUAUAGUUUUAAUAAAACAUUAUUAAAUUAAUGUUAUUAAGGAUAGUAGUAGUAUAUUAAAUUAAUGUUAUCAAAUUAACGUAAUUAAAAAAUGUUAUUAAAUUAACAUUAUUAAAAUGUUAUUAAAUUAACGAGGGGCGGGCCUACGUGGUUGCCAUGGGGUUCACCCGAACCCCCUCGGUAAAAAAAUUACGUCGUAUAUAUAUAAGAUAGAAAAUGUAUAUUUAUGUACGUAUAUUAACGUUGAACCACAUGAAACAAGACACUUAGAUAGCCUAGUGAUGUUAUUUGCUCUUCUUGGGCGCUUCCUUCAGCCUACUGUGCAGAUUUGAUCCCUGCUAGUGGCUGUUUUUUUUUUUUUGAAUUAAAAAAAAAACCUAGGUGUUGCUGCUAUAGAAAUAAAUAAAAUAAUAAUAAUAAUAAUUUUUUUUUAAAAUUAAGAAAAAAAUUAGGUGUUGCUACUAUAAAAAUAAAUAAAAAAAUUAUUAUUAUAAUCAACAACAACAACAACAAACGACGUCGUUUUAACACAAAAAACAAAACUUUGACAGUGCACAAAUAUGAUCUUUAACUAUUCAAAACUGCAUAAACAUGACCUCUCUCCAAUUCGACGUGGCAUCGUGUGAUUGGAUUACCUUUCCACGUAGGCGCGAGUGAGACUCACGCAUGGGGUUGCAAAAUCGGAGGUCAUAUUUGUUGAGAUUUUGAAUAGUUAAAGGUCGUAUUUGUGCACUAUCAAACUUUGUUGUUUUAUUGUUAUAUGGUAUAUGGUACUGGUGUAGUAAUUGUAGUACAAACAUAUUAUAUAAUGAAAGAAAAGGUUAUAAUGAGAUCCUAUAAAAAAAAAAUUUAAAAGUAAUUUUUUUCUUUGGGCAUCGGGUAUGAAUAAAAAAUAAAAAUAAAAAAAUUCAUUAUGCCUUUGAUUUUAUUUAUUAAUAAGGGUAUAAAUUAGGCUUGAUAAACUCUUGUCUUAAUUAGUCCAUAAUUUUUUUUCCUAUAACAGAUUUUGCCUUCUACGGUAAAAAUGUAACAUAAGAGGUUACAUUGAGUGGUUCAACCAUUCUACAUGUUUCUUGGUUCCUAUUUCAGAAAUGGCUGAACGGAGACAAACUCGAAUCACUCCACGUGGGAGUUCUGGAUGUCGAGCAAAGAGACAAGAUAGAAGAACACGUCGUCGAAGGGCAUGUUUUCGAGGUCGAGAGAUCAUACGAAAUGGUGUCCCCAGUGCGACUCAAAAUCUGUUACGNNNNNNNNNNNNNGGGAAAGAGAGAAGAAAUUGAAAGAGUCCAAGUCUUUUAUGAUGUCACCUAACAUUAGUGUUGCUAGUUUUAUACAUUUGUUUGAGAUGAAACGUAUAGAACUAGAAAACUAUGUAGAAAUCUCGGAUUGAGAAGCAUGAGCUAUUUUAGUAAAUUCUCUCUGUGACCCUUGAGGCGAGAGAUUAAUUGAUGUUUACCACGAGUAGGGGUGUGCAUCGAUCGAUUCGGUUUGAUUUACGUAUUAUUGGUUCGGUUUAUCGAUUUUUGGUUUUUAAAUAUGUAAAUUCAAUAACCAAUCAAUAAGAUAUUUUCUUAUCGGUUUAUUGAUUUUUAGUCCUUAACGGUUCAGUUUUAGGUUUAACCAAUAAGAAAAUACUUAUAAAAUAGAAAUAGUAACAAGUAACAUAAAAAAAUGAACUCUUAAUUACCGCCAAAACCUACGCAAUGCAUUUUAGUUUACAAGAAUCUUCAAACUUGAACUAAAUGUUAGUUAGGAAAAAAAUUGAAUCCUAAUUGUUGGAAGCUAUAAAUGUUUCAAGCUUUUUAUUACGAUAAUAGAAAAACUUUAUAUUGUACCUUUGUUGCCCUGAAUAGGUUAAUACUUUGUGAAUCACUGAAUUAUGAAUUAGUAGUGCAUAUAAUCUAUAUACAUACACACACAUAUAUAUAUAUAAAGAGAGAGAGAUAUGUAAAUAUAUAACAUAAAUAGGGAUAAAACAAUAACUUAGUGUAUCCGUAUUAGAUUAUCUGUUUAAUCGAUAACCCAAUAAGCUAAAACCGAUACCGAACCGUUUACCCAAUAAAUUUUUUUAUAAAACCAAUAAAAAAGUGUUAACCCAAUAACCCAAUACCAAUAACCCAAUAACAUUUUUAUCGGUUCGGUUUAUCGGUCGGUUCAAUUUUUGCACAGCCCUAACCACGAGAUAUGGACUCGCGAGCCUUUUUGGGUGUACAUAACUCUUCUAGAAUAUUUGUGGAAUGACUUUCAUUUUUAGAUUGACUUGUAACAUAAAUUUAUUAUAAACUUUAUAUUAUAUAGAUAUUAAAUUGUUUAUCACAUUUUAUAUGAAUUUCAUUCAUUUGUUUGAGUUUUAAACGACUUAAUUGUAAGCUAUCAUUAUAAUGCACAUUAAGAAAUUAAUUUCUAAUUUUGGUAAAGUGUUUAGUUAGUAUAUGAUGAUUGGAUUCUUAAGUGUCCUUUCGAUUAUACACUAAACAUGAAAAAAAAAAUGAUUUACUUGAAGGGGUAACUUGCAUGCAUAAUUGAUAAUAUAUUUGCAUAAUUGUCUCUUAAUAACAGACAUGGCAUCUAAAAACAUAAUUGUUGAUUUGAACAAAAGAGAAAAAACUAAAUGGAGACAACUACGAUAUUUGGAGUCAUAAGAUGUGGUAUGUACUGGAAGAACAAAUCGAUCUUGAAGGUAUUAACCAUGUCUUGAGUCUACCAGAAGAGGGAAAUACUGCACAACAUAGAAGAGAACUUAAAGCUUAUAAGGCUUGGAAAAAGGUUGAUUCCAUUGCACGUGGAAUCAUUAUAAGUUUUGUGGUUGAUGACCUCAUACAUGAGUGUGAGAAAUUUCCUACUGUCAAUGACAUCUGGGUACACUUGCGAGGAACAUAUGGGGGUACUUCUGUUACCCACCUCAGGCAGCUGACUAUCAAAUUUGACACUUACAAGAAGCGUCAUGAUCAGAACAUCAAACAACACCCAAGGGUGAUGUCGAAUAUGAUAGCUCAACUCAAAAGUUUUGGUCACAUUCUCUCGGAUGAGCAGCAGGUUCAGGCAAUGAUCCGAUCUCUUCCCAAUAGUUAAAAACACCUGAAGGUCAACUUAACCCUCAAUGAUAGCAUCAAAACCUUUUCUGAUGUUGCCCGUCAUGUUGAACUUGAAGAUGAGCGGCUUGGUGCUGCUAAAGCUGCUUCAAAUGCCUUUAUGGCAGAAUCAAGUGGUAAGAACUCUUUAGGAUUUAAGUGCAAGAAAAAAUGGAAAAAGAACGGGAAGGGCAAAGAGACUGAAGAAGGACCCUCUGAGAAAAGAAAUAAACCAAAUUUCAAAAAGGAAAAAAAGUUUUUCAAGAAGAAAGAUAAGAGCAAGAUGAAGUGCUACAAUUGUCAAAAUCUGGGGCAUUUUGCUCGUGAAUGUCCUGAGCAGAAAAAGGUAGCAUUUCUAAACGCAACUCUAAGUGCUGGAUAUGUUUCUAGCAUUGCUUUAUUAACUAAAUCUUAUCCUAUGUGGAUUGUAGACUCAGGAGCCACCGACCAUGUGAGUCGAGAUCAAGAAGUGUUUAUGGAGUUCCGUCGAGUUUCACCUGGACAAGGUGGAUCUACGUAGGAAAUAAUGCAAGACUUGAAGUCAAAGGAAUUGGCACUUGCAAAGUAGAUUUGCGUGAAGACCGGUCUUUAAUGUUGCAUGACGACUAUAUGCUCCAGAAAUUCGACGAAACUUAGUAUCUGCGUCUGUUCUCUUAAAUGUUGGUUUUCAUUUAUUUUUUAGUCGUAAUUGUGUAAGAAUUACUCUAGAUAAUGUUUUUUUUAUGGUUUUGGACAUCGUUAUAAUUGCUUUAUUGUUUUAGAUUGUAAUCCUUCAACUUAUAAUUACUAUGUUGACCGUUUUGUAAUGUCAUAUUAUUCUAGUAAUAAUGAUGUUGAAUUACUUACAUAGCAUGCUAGAUUGGGUCACAUAGGGCAAAAUCGAAUGAAUAUAUUGGAAAAGGAAGGACAUCUAGGUUCUUUCUCUAAAAUUGAAAUGUCAACUUGUGAAAAUUGUCUUGCUGGAAAGAUUACACGUAAAUCAUUUGGGAAGGCUAAAAGGGCCGAACUUCCAUUGCAAUUAAUCCAUUCUGAUAUCUGUGGUCCAAUAAAUGUGAGGGCAAGGACUGGUGCUUCAUAUUUCAUUACAUUUAUUGAUGAUUUCAUGCAUUUUGGUUAUGUCUAUUUAAUAUCUCAUAAAUCAGAAGCACUUGAAUGCUUCAAAAGAUACAUGAAUGAAGUUGAGAAUCAGUUAGACAAAACUAUAAAGGCAUUAAGAACUGAUAGAGAACGUAAAUAUCUGUCAAAAUAGUUUGAAAAACUGUGUAUUGAAAAAGGCAUUAUUAGACAAUUGACUACUCCUUAUAUACCUCAACAAAAUGGUGUAGCCAAAAGAAGAAAUUGAACAUUGUUGGAUAUGAUAAAAUCCAUGAUGGCCUAGACAAAUUUAUCAAUCUCUUUCUGGGGAGAUGCGUUAUUAACAGCGGCCUACAUAUUGAAUAAAGUGCCUUCUAAAUCAGUAUCAUCUACUCCUUAUGAACUAUGGACUGGUAAUAAACCAAAUUUUAAUGAUCUACGACCUUGGGGUUGUACUGCAUAUAUUAAAGAUCAUUUUGGUAAAUUUGGAAAAUUAAGUUCAAAAGAAAAGAAAUGUAUCUUUAUAAGAUACUCAGAACACUCCAAAGAAUAUGUGUUCAUUGGUGAAUUGGAAGAUGGAAGUACAACUGAAAUUGAAUCACGAGAUGUCACAUUCCUGGAAAAUGACUUUUUAAAAAGAAAUGAAAUAAAGGAAAAUGAGCCUCUUUACAAAAUGUUGAAUUCAGAUGAUCAAAUAAUGUCACAUGAUAAUUCAAUUGAUCAAAAAAUGAUUCUUGGUCCAAGUGGGAGUUGUGAAUCUCAAAAUCCCAUUGAAGAAUCUGAACUUCAAUUACGUAAGAGUACCAGAAAAGGUGUGCCUAAAUGAUCUUAUAAGAUUGAGGAUUAUGUCUUCCUGGUAUCUCCCACGAAAUUGGAUGAACCUAAUUAUGUGACUGAGGCUUUAUCGAAUCCUGAAAAAGAUGAAUGGAUAAAAGCGAAGAAAGAAGAAUUAGAGUCCAUGAAAACCAAUAAAGUAGGGGAUCUAGUUGACCUUCCUUCUGGGCGUAAAGCUAUUAGGAACAAAUGGAUUGUCAAAGUCAAAUGCAAAUCAUAUGGAUCAAUAGAAAGACACAAAGCACGAUUGGUGGAAAAAGGUUUUACUCAAGAAACUGGAAUAAAUUAUGAGAAAACUUUUUCACCAGUUGUGAAAUUCACCUCAAUUCGCCUGGUUUUGUCUAUAGUUGCACGUUUAGAUUUAGAAUUACACCAAAUGGAUGUAAAGACUGCUUUUCUCAAUGGAGAACUAAAAGAGGAAAUCUACAUGGAACAACCUGUAGGUUUUGUUGUUAAAGGCCAAGAAAAGAAGGUUUGUAAAUUAAACAGAUCAAUAUAUGGCCUUAAGCAGUCUUCAAGGCAAUGGUACCUGAGAUUUCAUAAGGAGGUGAUUUUAUUUAUAUUCACCAUGAUCGAUGAAGACCAUUGCAUCUAUGUGAAAAAGUCCAAUGAAAUGUUUGUAAUUCUUUCGUUUUACGUGGAUGAUAUUUUAUUAGCUGGAAAUAAUUUGGAGUAUGUAAAAACUGUUAAGUCAUAGCUUUCAAAGUAAUUUAACAUGAAAGAUAUAGGUGAAGCAGAUUAUAUAUUGGGUGUUAAAAUCCAAAGAGACCGUUUUAAGAAAAUUUUGAGUCUAUCUCAAGAAACAUACAUAAUGAAAAUUUUGGAACGUUUUUGAAUGAAUAGUUACAAAUCCAUGGAUAAUCUUAUAGAAAGAGGUCAAACUUUAAGCCUUGAAAUGUGUUCAAAGACUGAAAAAGAAAAAGAAGACAUGUCUCGAGUACCAUAUUCCAGUAUAGUUGGGAGUUUGAUGUACGCUAUGAUGUGUACUCGCCCAGACAUUUGUUAUGUCGUAGGUUUGGUUAGCAGGUAUCAAUCCAAUCCUGGAAGAGAUCAUUGAAAGCAGUAAAGAGAAUUUUUCGAUACCUGAAGGGAACUGCUGAUUAUUCAUAUGCUCUAGUGGAUUCGAUUUAUCCAUAAGAGGUUAUACAGAUGCUGAUUGGACUGGUAACCGGUAUGAUAGAAAGUAAACUUUCGGUUAUGCCUUCUUGCUAAAUGGUGGUGCAAUUUCGUGGAAAAGUAAGAAACAAACAUGCACAACCCUGUCAACUAUGGAAUCAGAAUUUGUGGCUUGUGAAUCUGCAGUACAAGAAGCUGUUUGGUUGAAGAGAUUCUUUGGGCAUUUGAGCAUUACAAAGAAUUCUAAGGGUCCCAUGAUUUUAUAUUGUGACAGUCAAGCGGCUAUCACAUAUAUGAAGGAUCCUAAAUAUCACAGCAAGACCAAGCUCAUUGAUAUUAAGUAUAACUUUAUACAAGACAUAGUAGCAAGCGGAGAAAUAAAUUUACAAUACAUUCCUACACGAGAAACGAUAGCUGAUCCCUUUACUAAGGCGAUAUCUAGAGACUUGUUUGAGAAAUAUGUCAUGGCUCUAGGAUUACGUAGAAUAUGAUUAAGUUUAUGUAUUGUAGAUGACUUGAUUAUAAUUAUUAUCAAUAUAAGAAUCUUGAAUUUAUGUUCAAUCUCAUAUGCAUGUGAAAAUAUGUUUUAUUAAUAUAGUGUGUCGAACAAGUCUCGAGAUUGACUUUCUCACAUGAGCAAUCGGCUCUUACGUUGAGGAAUGUGAAGAGAAAACUUCCACCAUAAGAUAAUGACUUAUUUUGUAAAGCUAGACGUGAGUUUCUUUAAGUAUAUGAUUUUGAGGGUUAUUAAAGAAAGAAAACCAGAUUAGACAUUUAGAAGUGUCUAGACCUAGAUCUGUACAAUGUUGAAUAGCUGAAAGAAUAAGACACACGCACCAAUAUAAGGUGAGAACAUCGUAGCACGUAUUUCAUACCACGUGUGCUUAGCGACCAAUGGGUUAAUGAUAGAAUAAAUCCCUGUUUUUUCAUUGUGUGAGGCCCUAAAAGUUAUUUUAAACUUUUCAUUUAAAUACCCUUAGAUCUAUAACUGUUUCUUGAAGUUUCGGUCAGUGUUGCUACUUUAGCAUGUUACUAAUAGCCAUGAGAGAUUCGGCAAUGCGGUGCAUUUCUAAGAAAGCAGUUGAUUGGAACAGAUAGAUUCGAGUGGAAAGGAAAGACGAUUAAAAUGAUAAUCAUAAACUCGAGUUUACCUCUUUAAGAGGAUGGGGGAUCGAAUAAGUAACUACCGGAGUAGUUUAUAAUGUCUGGGGUAUUGUGAGUAUUAGUAUCCUCAUAUUUGUAGAGAAGAUUGGAUUCCUAAACAUAGCUUGUAAAAUCUUAUAGGUAAAGCUCGUGAUGCUCACAGGUCGCACGAACUAUUUGCCGUAUGAAUUGGUGAUUUGUUGAUGUCGUACUGACUCGGGUAAUGUCCACUAUGUGUGAAGUGGGAGAUGUUAGAUUAUGGGUCAUGGGUCACGCAUGUGGACCGACCCGAUCCGAACCCGACCCAAACCGACCCAUUCUUUGUCAGAUUGAAUUUAAUUCAAAAGAAAAAAGGGGGAACAAUUAUAGAGUAAUUGUUCCCGCCCCAAAAAUCAAUGCUAUAAGUUCUUAUUUUUUUCUUCUGACAAGAAGUUGACAGAAUACAGAGAAGAAUUAACAAAACAUAAAAACAACAACACCAAAAGGCAUUUAGUUCGUGAAAUAUCACUCCGUUUCCAAGAGAAACGAAAUCAACUUAGAGCAAGAUCCUUUCGAAAGCAAAAAUCAAGAUCCGCUACAAAUUCUAAGGUACACAACUUAAUAUUUUUGCUCCGUAAUUACACAAAAAUUGACUCUUGAAAGCCUGCGGAACAAGAAGAUGAAUAUGGAAUUAUCCUCCUUAGAUCAUAACAGUAAAAGUACUACAAUAACAUACCCAGUGUACUCCCACAAGUGUGGAAAUGUACAUAUUUUAUUUAUAAUACAAUGUACAAUAGCUGAAAUCUUAAUUUAAUUGAAUAAUACAUACUCUGAUAUUGUAAAUACUACAACCAGUGGAAAAAAAUCAUAUCAAGCCCCUUAUAGUUUCUUGGUUUUACUGAUAUAACUCGAAAUUUGAUAACCUGGGAGCAGGGAUAGCGAGUAGCCUCUCGUUUUUUUUGAUGACGAGUCCAAAUCCCUCUGAAAGAUCAACGUUUUCGCCCUCAGGGAGUUUCCAAUCAAAGGAAUGCAGCAAUGAAGCCAAUACAAACAUGAGCAUUUUCUCUGCUAAAGGAAGUCCAGCACAAAUUCUCCUACCUGAUCCAAAUGGAAGGUAAUUCAUAUUGUUUCCAGNNNNNNNNNNNNNNNNNNNNNNNNNNNNNNNNNNNNNNNNNNNNNNNNNNNNNNNNNNNNNNNNNNNNNNNNNNNNNNNNNNNNNNNNNNNNNNNNNNNNNNNNNNNNNNNNNNNNNNNNNNNNNNNNNNNNNNNNNNNNNNAAACUGCAUCGAGAUAGUGCAGAUUUGGUAAAUGUGAUUCUUCAACAAUGUUAUUCACCCCUACAACAUCUUUCAAUUCCUGAUGCACCUGUGCCAUUAUCUGCGGAGUAUUCAGAAGCUCCACCAUUACCCACUCGACCGUUGUGAUUGUAGUGUCAGUCCCAUCGAUCAUAAUGUCCUACAAUACAGAAACAUAUAUGAAAAGAGGGGAAAUGAACUUAGUCGUAGCAGGGGUUAUGUAAUGGUUGAUUCUAGCUUUAGGUAGAGGAGAAUCCAGGAUUUUAAGUUCACGGAUUUUGAAACGCAACUCUUCCUGUUUAUUGGGUUUUGGAUAAAUUAUUUAUACAUAUUAAAUGAAUUUCUUUAUACAAAUAUAUAGUCCGUGUCAAAGCUACCGGGUUCUGCCGAAUCCAUAACUUCUUGUUGCUCUGCCCCUCCCAGUAGGAGUGUGGCAGUCAUGUUUAGGUAUGAGACUAUGAGUAUGAAUAUUUUUUUAGGACUUUUUAAAAAAAAGCAAUCUGGUACUCCAAGGGGUAUGAUAUAGACAGCUUAUCCAAAUGGAAACAUUAGUGGCUGUUUCCAUGGCUCGUGACCUUUAUGUGAUUCGAGAAUGGAUUUGAGUUCUUAAUUAAGAUGCGCGAAUCACAUAAUUAGCUAAAAUAGUCUUAAAAAGUUUGUAUGACACUGUUAAAUCUUCAGACUGAUAACGUAAUAUAGAAAAGAUACAAGGACCAUAU